rnacentral:rRNA from 1 species
CCCUUAGAUGUUCUGGGCCGCACGCGUGCUACACUGAGUGGAUCAGCGGGUCAGGUUGCGCGAAAGCGUUUCCUAAUCUUUAAAUCCGCUCGUGAUGGGGAUUGACGGUUGCAAUUUUCUGUCAUGAACGAGGAAUACCUUGUAAGCGCGGGUCAUCAUCCCGCGCUGAAUACGUCCCUGCCCUUUGUACACACCGCCCGUCGCUACUACCGAUUGAAUGGUUCAGUGAGAUAAUCGGACAGAUAACUUGGCAACUGGCAACAGUUGACGUGCAUAUUUGGAAGACGAUCAAACUUGGUCAUUUAGAGGAAGUAAAAGUCGUAACA